CGCCUCCUGCAAAAAUCAAUGUAUAGGAGGUCUUGCCUGCCCAGUGACAAGUUAAACGGCCGCGGUAUUUUGACCGUGCGAAGGUAGCGCAAUCACUUGUCUUUUAAAUGAAGACCUGUAUGAAUGGUGGAACGAGGGCUUAACUGUCUCCCCUUUCAAGUCAAUGAAAUUGAUCUGCCCGUGCAGAAGCGGGCAUAAAAAUACAAGACGAGAAGACCCUUUGGAGCUUAAGAUACAAGAUCAACUAUGUCAAGAACUCUAAAAUUAAGUUAAACUAAAUAGUUAACUGAUCCCUAUCUUCGGUUGGGGCGACCGCGGGAGAAAACAAAGCUCCCACGCGGACUGGGAUUAUAAUCCUAAAACCAAGAAAGACAUCUCUAAGUCGCAGAACAUCUGACCAUAAAGAUCCGGCCUAACCCGCCGACCAACGGACCAAGUUACCCUAGGGAUAACAGCGCAAUCCCCUUUCAGAGUCCAUAUCGACAAGGGGGUUUACGACCUCGAUGUUGGAUCAGGACAUCCUAAUGGUGCAGCCGCUAUUAAGGGUUCGUUUGUUCAACGAUUAAAGUCCU
rnacentral:rRNA from 1 species